AAUGAAGGGGAUGAUGUUUUCCUAUGUGAAUAUGAAUACAACAUUCAUUGGCACAGUUUCAAGUGUCUUGCUGAUAUU